GUAAAAUAGAAUGGCAACAUGCU
rnacentral:snRNA from 1 species